UUUUUUUUGAAUUUUUUUGUUUGUAAUGGCGCAUUUCGCGCAUUUCUAUGGGUGCGCCAUUACUAAGUCAGAUAGUAAUGAUAGUGCGCCAUUACUAACAAUUACUAAUGGCGUGAUAAUAGUGGCACACCUAUAGGUGCGCCACUAACAGCCUUUUUUCUAGUAGUGAGGCACAAGACUGACGACACCAAGAGUUCAACACCCCGUACUCCAACCUCAACCAACCACACCAGCACCCACUUUUAUGCAAGGAACAAG
rnacentral:lncRNA from 1 species